UUCAGAGGGGAAGGAUUAUUAAAAAGGAGUCCAGUUUGAAAGGAAGAUGAGGAACCAUUUGAUGUAGCGCCACUAGAAAUUGAAUAAUAAUAAUAAAAAGGGUAAGGAAUAAGACCAGCCAGUGUGGCAAGAAACUUAGUAUACAACUUGAUUGCGGCCAUGGUGACUUCUUUUUGGAAUCAAACCUUUUUUUCUUCUUUUUUUCCUUUUUUGCAGAAUGCAUCAGUCAUUUGCUCCCAGGAAAAGAUGGAUACAGGUAGCUGGCUAGUGCACCACGUAAAAACAGUUUUUGAGGGGGAGGAAGGGCGCUAGUUUGAUCAUCUUGAAAGGGAAGAAACAUUUGAUGAUUCUAUGAUAUGGUUGUGAUAGGCAUUUGCUACGAGAAGUCGAUGGGCUGAUGGGUGGAAGGGGGACAUCGGUGAUUCUGCAAAAGACAAUAAUAUAGGCCAGACCAGCAGAGAUGACUUCGACUAUCAGACUGGGAGAUGUAAGUGUGUGGGCAAGGUAUCAGAUAUAGAUAAGGAAGAGGAUCUGCAAGACCAGCAGGUAGAAGUGCUUCACACGAUGGGAAGCACGCACGGAUGCCAAAGAUUACUCCCUGCCAGUGUGUUUGACUCCUCUCCUAACUAGCUUGCUACCCAGGGAGCUCAACGACAAGUUCACAA